UUACGUGUAGAGAUGGAUUAAAUCAACAUUUCCCUCAUACAUUUCAGAAUAAGGCUGUAACGUAACAAAAUGUGGAAAAAGUCAAGGGGUCUGAAUACUUUCCGAAGGCACGGUAUGAUGUCGGAAGACACACACCACCACAAAAGGAAACUAGGGAGAUUCACCAAGGGUUACAAUUUCUUCUUUUUACAUUUUUAGAUUCAUACAGCGCCUCGUCAUCCACCUAAAGAAACCACUGGGUUUUAUUCCACUAAAAAGCCGAUUCACACAGAAGUUCAUGUUGGAAACAGUGACGCAUUUGAGGAGUCUCGGUUAACGUAAUGUCUUCAGAACUCCGUUUUACAAAGGAAUCCAUGAGGAGCCUUCCUGUAAUAUCUGAACUGAUUGGCUAGCCUAUGCCGUGAUCAAUACCGUAUAUUAUAAACUGGGUGGUUCGAGCCCUGAAUGCUGAUUGGCUGAAAGCAAUGGUAUUUGAGACAGUAUACCACGGGUAUGACAAAACACUACAUUAGUAACCAGUUUAUAACAGCAAUAAGGCACCUCAAGGGUUUGUUGUAUAUAGCCAAUAUACCACGGCUAAGGGCUGUAUCCAGGCACUCCGCGUUGUGUCGUGCUUUAGGACAGCCCUUAGCCGUGGUAAAUUGGCCAUAUCCCACACCCCUCAGACCUUAUAACUUAAACAGAGCUGCUCCCCUCCUCACAGAAGUCCUCCACCUGCCAAUCCAAGGACAUUACUGUGCUUCCACUGUGGAUGUGGUACCUUUAUCUGCGUUACCAUUUCUCCUGACGGUGCGCUGCGUGGGAGAGGUGGGUUUCAGCCGCAACGCUCAGAAAAGGGCUGCCAAACUAUCGCCAAAAAAGUCUGAGGAGGCACACUCUACGGCACCAGGCGGCUCCGCUCUACGGCACCAGGCGGCUCCGCCUCCGCUCUACGGCACCAGACGGCUCCGCCUCCUCUCUACGGCACCAGACGGCUCCGCCUCCUCUCUACGGUAGCAGGCGGGUGAACUAGGGCUAAGUCUAAUGCAGCUAGUGAUGGGUUCGGUGUCUGCAGCCAUGUCUGGACAUAUAGACGAACCCUGAUCUGUGAAACACGGAAAGCUACGUAAUAACACUUUAAAUCUAAAAGUGAAAAACAACCCUACCUGCGGAGUCCUCUGUAGCUCAGAGACAGAGAGGUGUUACAGUAAAUGUGCUCCCCUACCUGCGGAGUCCUCUGUAGCUCAGAGACAGAGAGGUGUUACAGUAAAUGUGCUCCCCUACCUGCGGAGUCCUCUGUAGCUCAGAGACAGAGAGGUGUUACAGUAAAUGUGCUCCCCUACCUGCGGAGUCCUCUGUAGCUCAGAGACAGAGAGGUGUUACAGUAAAUGUGCUCCCCUACCUGCGGAGUCCUCUGUAGCUCAGAGACAGAGAGGUGUUACAGUAAAAUGUGCUCCCCUACCUGUGGAGUCCUCUGUAGCUCAUACAGACUGAGUUCCCAUG